GGGCAAGUCUGGUGCCAGCAGCCGCGGUAAUUCCAGCUCCAAUAGCGUAUAUUAAUGUUGCUGCGGUUAAAAAGCUCGUAGUUGGAUCUCGGUUUCGGGGGAGUGGUGCGUCUUGUGGCGUUUACUGUUUCCCCGGACGAUCUUGUUGGUUCGUUCAUGGUUCUCUUAACCGAGUGCCAUGAGUGGCCAACACGUUUACUUUGAAAAAAUUGGAGUGCUCAAAGCAGGCGCUACAGCCUGAACAUUAGUGCAUGGAAUAAUGGAAUAGGAUCUCGGUUCUAUUUCGUUGGCUUUCGGAGUCGAGGUAAUGAUUAAUAGGGACAGACGGGGGCAUUCGUACUGCGACGUUAGAGGUGAAAUUCUUGGAUCGUCGCAAGACGAACUACUGCGAAAGCAUUUGCCAAGAAUGU
rnacentral:rRNA from 1 species